GGGAAACCGAGUCUUAAUAGGGCGUGCAGUUGUUGGGGGUAGACCCGAAACCGAGUGAUCUAUCCAUGGCCAGGUUGAAGCGCGAGUAAGAUCGCGUGGAGGACCGAACCCACCAAAGUUGAAAAUUUGGGGGAUGAGCUGUGGAUAGGGGUGAAAGGCCAAUCAAACUCGGAAAUAGCUGGUUCUCUCCGAAAUAUAUUUAGGUAUAGCCUCGGAUCAUUACCUUUGGAGGUAGAGCACUGAAUGGGUUAGGGGUCUCACCAGAUUACCGACCCCAAUCAAACUCCGAAUGCC
rnacentral:rRNA from 1 species